CAAGGCAGGAGGUACUGACCAACUUCUCUACGUGGUGAUGGGUCUGGUCCUGAAGGAGGAGAAAGAAGCUAGUGCCCCUUCUCUUGGUGGUCUCAGAGCUUGAGGAUCACUUUUUAACCCCAUGCACAGGUGCAAAGAAAAAGGGAUUUACAAGAGAGAUGCACAGCAUUAAAUUCAGCCACUAGACCUGUAUGCCAGGCUUAGCUUGGCUGUGACUCUCUUGUGGUCAGAGAGUCAUUGUUUCUUGAUAAAGCAAAUAUUUUAUUAUGGAUCAGGCAUUCUGUUGGAGAUAACAGCAAUUUGAAUGGAGCUUUGUUAGUACUGGAGUGUAACAGGAGGGGAAAGGUGGCUGCUGCAGAGAGGAAACUUCAUUUUCAUAGCAAAAUGUGGCUACUGCGAGGUCAUAUGGAGAAAACAUCUCUAUCAGCUCUAAAAAAAGACCAGGGAUGAGCUGACAUGAGAGGGAAAUUACCCAUUCAGCACAUCAGGUUAUUCCCAGGCAAAUGGCUCUAGAAAUUUUUGGUCUUUCCAGAAGCUUCAGUAUUCCCAGAAAGAAAAAUCCCUUAGAAACCUUUACACUUAUGCACUUUUACUGAUAAUGUCAGACAACCAGAAUUCAGUGGGCAUUUGUUAAUGUGAAUUCAGUAAAUAGUUUGUAGGGGGAAAAGAAAUCACCAUUCAUGAUGUGUUGCCUGAGGAUUUGCAGAGGAUUGCCUGCAUGGUAACAACAGUGAGAAUGGAUUAUGAAAUAUCAAAACAGCAAGGCAGCGAUAUGAAGCUUUUCCUCAGCCCUUCCUGCACACUGUUAACAGAAUCAAAAUGUAGAGGUUAAGUACCCUCAACAGCAAGUAACCUUAAAACCAGAGGCUAACUUUAACCUCAGUAUUAAAUAUUGAAUAUCCAACUGAAUGUUCUCUGCAAACACACUUUUUAUUCCACCCCUCACUUGUUAAAUGCACUCAAUACAUUGAAAAUGUUCUAUCACAGAGGAGAAUUACUUGACACGUAGUUCAGAAUCAGGCUGUACCUCCCUGUGCCGAAGCAAAAAGUUAUGCUUUCUGGUAAUGUGCUGGGUAACAAAUAUGCUGGAGCACUAAAGGCCACAUUAUUGCCAAAUCAGUGUUUUCUUUAUGUUAGCAUUUCCUUUAUUGCAUUAUUCUCUUUGAACCUUGGGGAUCAGCUGAUUUUUUCCUGUGAAUUUUUUCUGAUCCCUCAGCUUACGGGAAUGUGUUCUUGCAGAGGACUUCACAGGACACAAUCCACGUGGAAGUGAACAAGUUGUAUAAAGUUGAUUAGGUCCAAGUAAGGCUGGCAUUGUUGUCAUCCAAAAUGUUUUAAAGAAAGGUUUCCUCCCUUGCCACUCAGAAACUGCUGUAGAGAAGUGACCUGGACCACUGAAGAAAUUGAGUGUCUUGUUUGUUCUAAACUGCCAGGAAAAAUACCUUGUCUCCCAUGACAGUGAAGACCCAUGCUGAUAGAUCUACUGGUUUUGCAAACACCAGCUCCCAGCAACUCAACCAUUGCUCUUCCUAGUGCAUUGUGGUUCUAGGUGUGGUAUAAAUUCCUCCAAAAGCACAGACUAUGAAUGGCAUCUGAACUCUUCCAAACCUGUAGUCAUCAGGCAACUGCAUCAUAUAAACUUUCCUAAGGAAUUUGUCACCAGUAAUAAUGUGACCAUGCUCAGUUUUUGUGACUUGACUGCCUGCUGAAGAAUGUAAAUACUUAAACCUAUGAAACCCUAAGAAAACAAAAGAAAACAAAAUUCAAAUUGCAAAGCUCCUUGCAAAAUGGAAUCUUAAUAUGCAUUUUUCAGUUCACACAGUGAGGGGACAUUUUUGAAAGUCCAGAUUAUGGGCCCUACUAUCCUAGCCAUUUUAGUAGCUUUCCACUGGAUGCUUUCUUUUUUCUUAACAUCUUUGAUCUGGGAUGCCCAUAAUUGGACCUCUGGCUCCAUGAGGAUGAAGACUUAGAUUUUUUAAGGAGUUCCCAACUUGUUGCUUCAAGGCAUUGGGUUACUUCAGCCUGUUAGAUACCAUCUUCUGGUAGGUUAUCUUUGUGCUAGUGUCAGAUUCAGCCCUGUAUGCUAGAGCAUUUCAUGAAUAGGAAGCAAUCCAGAUUCUUUAUUAUUAUUAUUAUUUUAUUAUUAUUAUUAUUAUUUUUCAGUGACUGUGAACAGCAUUUUAUUCCAGAAAAAGAAGUAGUCACAAGGUCCUAGCCAUUUGGUAUAAUAACUGUUCAGUAGCUUCUACUGUAUGCAUGGACACCUGAGGAGUGGCAUUUUCUAAAGGUGCUUCUGAGCAGCACAUCCGUGUAUCUGCUGCAGCCUUUGUUCACAACGCCACGGCUGAGGCAGAUGCAUGUUGAUUUUUAGCUAGAGUUUAUUUUAGGGGAAGUGGGAGGAAAGAAAUUAAUUAUUGGGCCACUGCUGAGCUAUUCUUUGGUUUUGGCUUUGCGCUGGCAUUUUCUCUUUCAAAUGAAUUUUUGAAUUAUUUUAUUAAUGGAAACGUGGGCAGAUGGACUUGGAAAAGUAACUCUUCACUAGCUCAAAUGAGAAUCUGAAGAAAUUAUGUAUUUUACAGCUUCCUUAAAGCUUUAUUCUGCUCUCUCAACAAUCAUAAAACAGCUCUUCAUCUCAGUAACUGACCAGCCUGUUUCACCCAUCUAGAUACUGCCCAGUACAGCUGUUUCAGGUCCUCCCCAACCGCCCCCAUUAUUGUACACAACCCACAGCUUAAAUACUGCCUUGCAAAUGUGUACUCUGGUUUACCCCUGCCCACACUCAGUGACAACAGCUUUCAUGCAAUUUUUUAGAUUUCUUGGUGGAUGCUGGCCAUUGGGUGCCCAGGACUGGCCCUAGGAGAUGUGGGGUCAGUACCAUGGGUAAAUGUUCGGGGCACUCACACUUUGAGAGGCAAUGAGAGCAAAAUAAAACGUGGCAGAUUUUGAAAUUUCAAAAUGUGAUGAAAUAACAUUGUCACCCAACUUUAAUUGAUGCGUUAGAAUUGUGCCUGAGGGUCUGGUGAAGGAAACUGCAGGCAACAAGCUAAGCUGCAGCUGUGAGGUGGUGGAGUAACAUCCGCGUUGUUUUAAGGUUGCGUACAAAGUUAAGUAUUUGAACUACCAGCAGAUGGCACCGGGGAAUGUGCAGUGAUGUCUAUUGUGUGGGGCCGAUGACAUUUCUAGCAGCACGUUUUGAAUAUGUACUUCAGCUACAUGUUCUGCACUGCACAGAGCAGGGUCCCUGCUGCUGGGAUCCUGGGGUGGCAAGUGCUCUGCCAUCGGAGUAAGGGAACAAACGCGGCUUUCCGAGCUGCUGCAGGAAAUACCCUGCUUCCUUGCUGUCCCUUCAGAAAUGUCAUUCUAGCUGCAUGUUGCCUUCUCUCCCCUUGGUUGUGAUGAAAAGUUCAGGUUCUCACACCCCUUUCCCAAACCCUUCUUAGGGGGUAUGUAAUCAGGGAUAUGGUUUCUGAUCCAAGGCUGGAUCAGCUUACUGCAGGAAACAAAGACCUCUGUAGUUUUCAUGCAGCACCCAGCAGCCAUAAGAGUAGGAGCAUCCAGCUUGCAGACAGUCUUCAGAGCCAGCGGUGCUGCUGUUGCUGUAUUGUCAGGCUGUGCAUUAAUGCAAGUGAUCAAAGCUCCUGCUAUGAUUCAAUACAAUCAGAACUGUAUUAAGUCCUGACAAAAAUUUCCCAUUACUUUAUGUUGAGAGAUUCUAGCACUAAUUAGCCCAUUCUGAACAAUUGCUGUUUAGGGUUUGAAAUACUAUGAAAGGAGAAGACAGGUAUUGCUCCAGCAAUCCCACCAGCUGGGACUGCGUUAUCAGUUACAUGGUUAAUAAGACAGUGAUGCAGUAGAAAGUAAACAGCUGCACAAUGCACAAGGGCAAUAUGUUAAAUGUGAAAGGUUAACCGCAUCCAUCCACCACGCAGAGCAGAGGCCAGCAUCCUAUAGAUUUAUGUCUCGUAGUAGACUGUAGUCCCUGGUGAAGCCUUUCUCAAUGGCCGGACAAGUUCUUGCUGGUUUCUGUAGCACAUGAACAGACAAAGCAGCCAUUCUUUUCAAAAGAAAAAAAAUAAAAAUAAAAAUAAAAAUG